GGCAGACACUAUCGAGGCACACUAGGACUGGCGACACAGGGAACCGUAUGCAACACAGACGCCUCAACAUCUAUUAUUAGGUUCAGCAAUAAUGAGAACGUAUAUAAUGCAGCUGGUUCUGCUCAUGAGCUUGGCCACGCUCUCAUUUUUGGACAUGAUGAUGAAGCCGGCAAUGUAGCCAGAUUCUGCCGAUGCCCUGGCUGCAAAGAAAGAUGCAUUAUGAGAUCAAAACUCUCAGAGUGCACAGAGUUCAGUAACUGCUCUGCUGCUGACUUCUAUGACAGGUUGAUGAUGGGAAAAUUAAAUUGUCUACUUAACAUGCCACCUGUAGCUACACUCACAUAUAAUCAGUGUGGGAAUGGUCUCUUGGAAGAAGACGAAGAAUGCGAUUGUGGUAGAGAUAAGGUAUGCCGUGACAAUGGCUGUUGCCAGUCCAAUUGUACGCUUGCGCCAGGGGUCACUUGUGUGUCAGGACAUUGUUGCACAAAA